UACGGAGGGGGCGAGUGUUAUUCAUAGUGAUUGGGCGUAAAGGGUGCGUAGGCGGCCUCUUAAGCUUCCACUGAAAUUCCACGGCGCAACUGUGGUCUUUGGAAGGACUGUUUGGCUUUGAAUUUGGCAGAGGUUAGUGGUACUUUUAGAGUAAAGGUAGCAAUUCUCGAUACUAAGGGGACCCCCAAAGUGGCGAAGGCAACUAACCAGGUUAAAUUGACGCUGAGGCACGAAGGCGUGGGGAGCGAACAGG
rnacentral:rRNA from 1 species